UCCAAGAGCAGUUGUGAAUGGUA
rnacentral:siRNA from 1 species